rnacentral:lncRNA from 1 species
UGAGUCCUGAGCUGCAUAGGUAAAUUUCUCUCUGCUGCAGAGGUAAAGCGGAACCACUGAAGAUCAGUUAUCUGGACAAGAUUAUAUAUUAUCUAAAUCCAACACUUUAAAGGAAACUGCUGUCAACACCAUCUCUCUGCAAGAAAAGAGUCCAGACAAACUUGCAUCACCACACAUUAUAGUUUUCUACAUGGUCCCACACAGCUUACUAAAGUUCUUUAUAACAAAUGGCUGUCAUGGUGGUGUUCAGAAUAAUGAUGUCAACUGUUAUUCAUAUUCUUGCUUUGUGUGGAUGGAGUUUCUAACUGAUCCAGGUUUCAACAGGGAAGAGCAGUGA